rnacentral:rRNA from 1 species
UACGAAGGGGGCUAGCGUUGCUCGGAAUCACUGGGUUUAAAGGGUGCGUAGGCGGGCAGGUAAGUCCGUGGUGAAAUCUCUGAGCUUAACUCAGAAACUGCCAUGGAUACUAUUUGUCUUGAAUGUUGUGGAGGUAAGCGGAAUAUGUCAUGUAGCGGUGAAAUGCUUAGAUAUGACAUAGAACACCCAUUGCGAAGGCAGCUUACUACACAAAUAUUGACGCUGAGGCACGAAAGCGUGGGGAUCAAACAGG